AUGAAGCCGGUGCAUCUCCAAGACUAUUCCCUUCAGGCAAGCCUAGUUGCCCAAUAUGAAGGUAAGUUGACCAAGCUCAUUGAAUUUUAUAGGCAACGUGCAAAAAAACACUGGGCGACCAAAGGUGACAGGAACACAUCCUUCUUUCACAAUGCUGUUCAAAAGCGUAAGCGUCGAAAUCACAUAGUUUCUAUUAAGGACACUCAUGGUAAUAAUUUGUUUGAUCCAGAUGAUAUUGCCAAGGAGUUUGUUAAUUAUUUUAGAACUAUUUUUCGCUCAUCUUCUACUAAUAAUGACAGGCCCAGUUUGGAUACUACUUUGCCGCAAGAUACAAACGACUUCACCUACUCGAUCCCUGAUAAACAUGAGAUAUGGGAAAUUCUCAAAGGCAUGAAGAAGAAUGCCUCUCCUGGACCUGAUGGAUUCAAUGUGGGUUUCUACCUUUCGGCUUGGAGUUGGAUAGGAGAUGAUGUGAACAAUUUGGUAAGAAAUUUCUACACCACGGGUAUUGUUCCGCCUCAUCUCAAUGAUACUCAAAUUGCGCUCAUUCCGAAGAAACUUGCUUCGCAUCUGCCUUCUGACUUUCGGCCCAUAAGUUUGUGUAAUGUUGUUUACAAAAUCAUUGCUAAAUCUUUAGCCAAUAGGUUGAAAGGACAUUUGCCUAAUUACAUUCACCCCUCUCAGCAAGCUUUCAUUGAAGGUAGGCGCAUAAGCAAUAAUAUUAUUGUCGCCCAAGAAAUUGCCCACUCAUUCUCUCUUGCUUCUUGCAAGAGCCUUGAUUUUAUACUGAAAAUUGACCUUGCCAAAGCUUUUGAUAGAAUUGAGUGGCACUUCAUUGUCUUGGCUCUUGCUCGUAAAGGUCUCCAUGGCCAUUUCAUAAAACUUGUUCAUGCAUGCAUUUCAUCCCCAACGUUUUCAGUGAUCAUUAAUGGUCAAUCUUUUGCAAAAUUCAAUAGUUCCAGAGGCAUUAGACAGGGAUGUCCUUUGUCACCGUAUCUUUUUGUCCUUGCAGUAAAUGAGUUAUCUCUUAUGUUACAGGAUGCCUUGCAAGCUAAUCACCUGACAGGUAUUUCGCUUGGACAAAAUUGCCCUCCUAUUCACUCUUUGAUGUUUGCAAAUGACCUGAUUGUUUGUGGCAAAGCUAAUGUGCAGGAAGCUAAUACUAUUUUACAGCUUUUAGACCAUUUUUGUUGUGAUUCAGGGCAAACUCCAAACUGGAGUAAAUCUGGUAUCUUAUUCAGCAAUAAUGUUACGAUGCAGGUUAAACAAGAUAUUAAGAGAAUCUUUCCAGCUCCAGACAUCGACAAUUCUUUCGUCCAUUUAGGCCAUCCACUUGUUUUACCUUCUAAAGAUAGAUCAGCUGCUUAUAACUUUGUUUACGAUAAAUUCAAGUCCAAACUUAGCACAUAUAAAGCCAACAGACUCUCUCAUGCGGCAAGAUUAACUCUCAUAAAAUCCGUUUUCUCUUCCAUUCCUGUAUAUUACAUGUCCAACAUACUUUUUUCAAAAAAGUUCCUUGCUAAACUAACAACAAUCAUUAGGAACUUUUGGUGGACAGGUAUUCAAGAUGAUCAGACUACUAGAAGCUUGUGCCUUAGGGCAUGGGCUGAUGUAUGUAUUGAGAAGAAAAUUGGUGGUCUUGGUGUUAGAAAUUUGCAGGCAAUCAACCAAGGACUUGUUCUCUCGACGGCAUGGAGAUUGGCAAAAGAGCCGCAAAGUCAGCUAGCAUUGAUUCUCAAGGCAAAGUAUCAUCAUGAUACAUCCAUUUGGAGAGCCCGGCCGAACAAACCUAAAUCUGCCUUUUGGUCUGCAAUUCUAAAGGUAAAGCCUCUUCUAAUCUCGGCCACAAUUUGCCAAAUUGUUGAUGGUGCUAGUUCUAUUUGGAGCUCGCCUUGGUUUUCCGGAUGGGAAACUAUUUAUGAUCAUUUUAUCAUUCAGCAACAAUCUUUUUCUUACCCUGCACAAGUUAAAGAUCUUUGGAUACCGGGUCAAAAGAACUGGAAUGCAAACUUGAUUAAUUCUCUUUUCACUCCUGAAUUGGCUAAUACCAUUCUACAAACUCCUAUUAUUAAGGAAAAUGGUAAGGAUAUGUUGCUUUGGAAACUAACUCCUGCAGGUGAAUUCUCUUCCAAAAGUGCUUACAAGCACUGCUUCAACAAUCUUCAGCUUCCACCAAGGCAAAGGCCCAAAAUUGUCCCUAUGCAGGUCAUUUCCCUUCUUAAUCAGGUGUGGGAGGAUAAGCAAAUGGCACCAAGAGUUCAGACAUUUGCUUGGAGGCUUCUUAGAAAAGCACUUCCUACAGGUAAGAGGGCAGGUAGGUACUCCAAACAUAUCAAUGAAAACUGCUCUAGAUGUGGACUAUUAGAAGAUGAAAUGCAUAUGUUGUUUCUCUGUCCUUUUUCUAAAGCAGCAUGGUUUUGCUAUCCCUGGUUUAUUAAAACGGAAUCUCUGGCUGAAAAUUAUCAUUCUAUUCCUGAUAUGAUUCGUGCUUUGAUUACAUCUCAACAUCCAAAAAUAAGCUUGACUACUCUCUAUACUUUUCUAUGGUGUCUUUGGAAAGCUCGGAACGACUGUCUAUUUUGUAGCAAAUUAUGCAAGCCUUCCCAGGUGUAUGCUUCAGCAAAUGCAAUAAUUGAAGCAACCAAUUUAGAAGAUAAGAACUUUGCUCAGCAACAAGAAAGCGAUAAAGCUCAGGAGCAGUUGCAGGCUUCUUCAACAACCACGCAUACACAUGACUGUAAUAACCUUACAGGGAAUGUCAUCUUUUGCGACGCAGCCUGGGAGAGACGCACAGAUUCAGAGCUGGGCCAUGCUGGCUUAGGAGUAAUCAUCACCAUGCAAGACAAUCGGCACCUCCAACGACUACACGUCUCUGCGCUUUCGCCUCCAGUUUCAUCACCCCUCCAGGCUGAGACUUAUGGGCUGCUACUAGCUACUAAGUUAGCAGAUCUUCUGCAGGUUCAGAACCCUCACUUUUGCACCGACUGCUCGGUGUUAAUUUCGGCGGCAAGGUCAUCAACGGUAUUUGCUGCUCCAGGAUGUUGGGAGAACAGACCUCUCCUUGCAGAGAUCCAAGCCUCUCCCUCUAUUAGUCGUAACAAGAUCACUCACAUCAACAGAAGCAACAAUGUAAAAGCUGAUCAUCAAGCUCGAUUAGCUUUGCGGAUUCAGUCAAGGUCCUUAGCUCUUUGUUGCUUAUGUACACAAGCAGAUCAAGGUCAAUGUCCCGGAAAGGACAUAGUUUCUGGUUCUAGCAUGAGUCCCUUCAUGCUUCUUUCUGUAAAAUGCACCUGA
rnacentral:rRNA from 1 species